UUAAACUUUAAACUGCUAUCACUAAACCCAAGCCUUAACCACGCACCUUCCAAAUACUAAACUUUAAACUCUAAUCACUAAACCCUAAACUCAAGUAUAGCCCUAAACCCAAAUAGAAUGGAAUAAAAUAAAUAGUAUAGUACAUAUUGGUGAACAAAAUAGAACACUCUUUAUUAAUUGUCAAAUGAAACGAUACAUGUUCACUAAACCCAAAUCCCAAUCCCGCCCUUCUAAAUACUAAGCUCUAAAUCCUAAUCACUAAACCCUAAACCCAAGUAUAAACCCUAAACCCAAAUAUAAACCAUAAACCUUAAACUCUAAACCCAAAUCUCAAAAUCCUAAUCACUAAACCCUAAACCCAAGUAUAAACCCUAAACCCAAAUAUAAACCAUAAACCCUAAACUCUAAACCCAAAUCUCAAAAUCUAAUACUGGCCUCAAACUCACCCCUAUUACUCUAAAUACUUAACCCUA
rnacentral:lncRNA from 1 species